rnacentral:rRNA from 1 species
AUACCAGCCCCGCGAGUGGUCGGGACGAUUAUUGGGCCUAAAGCGUCCGUAGCCGGGCCCGUAAGUCCCUGGCGAAAUCCCACGGCUCAACCGUGGGGCUUGCUGGGGAUACUGCGGGCCUUGGGACCGGGAGAGGCCGGGGGUACCCCCGGGGUAGGGGUGAAAUCCUAUAAUCCCGGGGGGACCGCCAGUGGCGAAGGCGCCCGGCUGGAACGGGUCCGACGGUGAGGGCCGAAGGCCAGGGGAGCGAACCGGAUUAGAUACCCCAGUAGUCC